rnacentral:rRNA from 1 species
AGCAGCCGCGGUAAUUCCAGCUCCAAUAGCGUAUAUUAAAGUUGUUGCAGUUAAAAAGCUCGUAGUUGAAUUUCGGGAUUAGUACGCUGGUCGUGCCUUUGGUAUGUACUGGUGUUACUGAUUCCUACCUUCUGAUGAACCGUCAUGUCAUUAAUUUGGUGUGGCGGGGAAUCAGGACUGUUACUUUGAAAAAUUGAGUGUUUAAAGCAGGCUCGCGCUUGAAUACAUUAGCAUGGAAUAAUGAAAUAGGACGUUCGAUCCUAUUUUGUUGGUUUCUAGGAUUGACGUAAUGAUUAAUAGGGAUAGUUGGGGGCAUUAGUAUUCAAUUGUCAGAGGUGAAAUUCUUGGAUUUAUUGAAGACUAACUACUGCGAAAGCAUUUGCCAAGGAUGUUUUCAUUAAUCAAGAACGAAAGUUAGGGGAUCGAAGACGAUCAGAUACCGUCGUAGUC